rnacentral:rRNA from 1 species
GUGGACCUCGGAGCUCCGCCUCUAGACCCCUUUAGGGUUGGUGACGACUUGGAGGAGAAGGAGGAAGAUGAGGAGGAUGUAGGGGAUGACGAGGAGGAGGUGGCCGAGAUAGGGGAGGAGGCAUUCACCGCCGCUUCCCGCCCACACGCGCGGUCGACAAACUACACCGAGGCGGAAGAUGUCCUCUUGGUUCGUGCUUGGGCAGCUGUGGGAAUGGAUGCAACCACCGGCAUCGAUCAAACUGGUAAACGGUAUUGGCAAAUGAUCGAUGACGUCUAUUGUAAGAUCAAGCCGAAGAAUAGUGGGUUCAUCCAUCGCUCUUUCCGGUCGCUUCAAGGCCGGUGGGAGUUGAUCAAGCCCGCUUGUUCUCGUUGGAGUGCGGCCAUGGACCAAGUGAUAGAUGCACCACCUAGUGGAACCGUGGAGAGUGACUAUGUGAGUACAUAUUUCUUCACUAUUUUGAUU